rnacentral:rRNA from 1 species
UUAAGCGACUAAGCGUACACGGUGGAUGCCCUGGCAGUCAGAGGCGAUGAAGGACGUGCUAAUCUGCGAAAAGCGUCGGUAAGGUGAUAUGAACCGUUAUAACCGGCGAUGUCCGAAUGGGGAAACCCAGUGCAAUUCGUUGCACUAUCGUUAACUGAAUACAUAGGUUAACGAGGCGAACCGGGGGAACUGAAACAUCUAAGUACCCCGAGGAAAAGAAAUCAACCGAGAUUCCCCCAGUAGCGGCGAGCGAACGGGGAGCAGCCCAGAGUCUGAAUCAGCUUGUGUGUUAGUGGAACGGUCUGGAAAGUCCGACGGUACAGGGUGAUAGUCCCGUACACCAAAAUGCACAGGUUGUGAACUCGAAGAGUAGGGCGGGACACGUGGUAUCCUGUCUGAAUAUGGGGGGACCAUCCUCCAAGGCUAAAUACUCCUGACUGACCGAUAGUGAACCAGUACCGUGAGGGAAAGGCGAAAAGAACCCCGGCGAGGGGAGUGAAAAAGAACCUGAAACCGUGUACGUACAAGCAGUGGGAGCACCUUCGGGUGUGACUGCGUACCUUUUGUAUAAUGGGUCAGCGACUUAUAUUCUGUAGCAAGGUUAACCGUAUAGGGGAGCCGCAGGGAAACCGAGUCUUAACUGGGCGUUAAGUUGCAGGGUAUAGACCCGAAACCCGGUGAUCUAGCCAUGGGCAGGUUGAAGGUUGGGUAACACUAACUGGAGGACCGAACCGACUAAUGUUGAAAAAUUAGCGGAUGACUUGUGGCUGGGGGUGAAAGGCCAAUCAAACCGGGAGAUAGCUGGUUCUCCCCGAAAGCUAUUUAGGUAGCGCCUCGUGAACUCAUCUUCGGGGGUAGAGCACUGUUUCGGCUAGGGGGUCAUCCCGACUUACCAACCCGAUGCAAACUACGAAUACCGAAGAAUGUUAUCACGGGAGACACACGGCGGGUGCUAACGUCCGUCGUGAAGAGGGAAACAACCCAGACCGCCAGCUAAGGUCCCAAAGUCAUGGUUAAGUGGGAAACGAUGUGGGAAGGCACAGACAGCCAGGAUGUUGGCUUAGAAGCAGCCAUCAUUUAAAGAAAGCGUAAUAGCUCACUGGUCGAGUCGGCCUGCGCGGAAGAUGUAACGGGGCUAAACCAUGCACCGAAGCUGCGGCAGCGACACUAUGUGUUGUUGGGUAGGGGAGCGUUCUGUAAGCCUGCGAAGGUGUGCUGUGAGGCAUGCUGGAGGUAUCAGAAGUGCGAAUGCUGACAUAAGUAACGAUAAAGCGGGUGAAAAGCCCGCUCGCCGGAAGACCAAGGGUUCCUGUCCAACGUUAAUCGGGGCAGGGUGAGUCGACCCCUAAGGCGAGGCCGAAAGGCGUAGUCGAUGGGAAACAGGUUAAUAUUCCUGUACUUGGUGUUACUGCGAAGGGGGGACGGAGAAGGCUAUGUUAGCCGGGCGACGGUUGUCCCGGUUUAAGCAUGUAGGCUGGUUGUCCAGGCAAAUCCGGAUAAUCAAGGCUGAGGUGUGAUGACGAGGCACUACGGUGCUGAAGUAACAAAUGCCCUGCUUCCAGGAAAAGCCUCUAAGCAUCAGGUAACAUUAAAUCGUACCCCAAACCGACACAGGUGGUCAGGUAGAGAAUACCAAGGCGCUUGAGAGAACUCGGGUGAAGGAACUAGGCAAAAUGGUGCCGUAACUUCGGGAGAAGGCACGCUGGUGUGUAGGUGAAGUCCCUGCGGAUGGAGCUGAGACCAGUCGAAGAUACCAGCUGGCUGCAACUGUUUAUUAAAAACACAGCACUGUGCAAACACGAAAGUGGACGUAUACGGUGUGACGCCUGCCCGGUGCCGGAAGGUUAAUUGAUGGGGUUAUCCGUAAGGAGAAGCUCUUGAUCGAAGCCCCGGUAAACGGCGGCCGUAACUAUAACGGUCCUAAGGUAGCGAAAUUCCUUGUCGGGUAAGUUCCGACCUGCACGAAUGGCGUAAUGAUGGCCAGGCUGUCUCCACCCGAGACUCAGUGAAAUUGAACUCGCUGUGAAGAUGCAGUGUACCCGCGGCAAGACGGAAAGACCCCGUGAACCUUUACUAUAGCUUGACACUGAACAUUGAGCCUUGAUGUGUAGGAUAGGUGGGAGGCUUUGAAGCGUGGACGCCAGUCUGCGUGGAGCCAACCUUGAAAUACCACCCUUUAAUGUUUGAUGUUCUAACGUUGGCCCCUUACCGGGGUUGCGGACAGUGUCUGGUGGGUAGUUUGACUGGGGCGGUCUCCUCCCAAAGCGUAACGGAGGAGCACGAAGGUUAGCUAAUCCUGGUCGGACAUCAGGAGGUUAGUGCAAUGGCAUAAGCUAGCUUGACUGCGAGCGUGACGGCGCGAGCAGGUGCGAAAGCAGGUCAUAGUGAUCCGGUGGUUCUGAAUGGAAGGGCCAUCGCUCAACGGAUAAAAGGUACUCCGGGGAUAACAGGCUGAUACCGCCCAAGAGUUCAUAUCGACGGCGGUGUUUGGCACCUCGAUGUCGGCUCAUCACAUCCUGGGGCUGAAGUAGGUCCCAAGGGUAUGGCUGUUCGCCAUUUAAAGUGGUACGCGAGCUGGGUUUAGAACGUCGUGAGACAGUUCGGUCCCUAUCUGCCGUGGGCGCUGGAGAAUUGAGGGGGGCUGCUCCUAGUACGAGAGGACCGGAGUGGACGCAUCACUGGUGUUCGGGUUGUCAUGCCAAUGGCACUGCCCGGUAGCUAAAUGCGGAAGAGAUAAGUGCUGAAAGCAUCUAAGCACGAAACUUGCCCCGAGAUGAGUUCUCCCUGAGACUAUAAGUCUCCUGAAGGAACGUUAAAGAC